rfam:Gossypium raimondii Chr11_contig_33, whole genome shotgun sequence.
AGUUAAAAAUUUCAUCUAUACGUACUAUUAAAAACAAGUGUGACUAAUGAAAUAAUUAGACAGUGACAUAUAGUGUGUCACGUGUACAUCAUACUGACAGACAUAGGCCAGCUUUUAACCAUAAAAAUAGAUGAAAUAUUUAAUA